GUAACACUUGGGCAGGCUUUAGGUACCGUACAAUCUGGGUAACAGAUUUGUCUUUGGUCUGGUAUACCGGUGUGCUGAUUUACAUAUUUUUACCCCCUCCUGACCAAGAUACCUUCUGCUGAUCCUCUGCAUCAUUACUCAAGCGUGAACUUGAAGGUCGGGAGCUUAGGGGGAAAAGUCGUGUGACACCGUCAGUAAAGAAAACCUGACAGACACAGACGUCAACUCCAUUUGUAGAGUGUUCAUGUAAUCUUGUUUCACUUACACAAAGACGUUUGACUCGGUUGGGUCUGCUGCCUCGUCAGCUGGUGGUAGGGACUACUCAUUUAAAGGGUUGGAGUUUCCUUAGUGGACACUAGAAUUUAUCUACUAAUUUGUUGAGGUUGUCAAAGUGUAGAUGACGUCUUUGGAAAUUUAAAUCACCCAUAUUAUUAUUCACUUCUGCAUGGUCAAUUUUAAGUUGAUUUUAAACAGAUUUGAAAUGACAUGUGAUUUGAAAAACUACUCAGUGGAAAAAUAUGAAUGUGUGUCGCCUUGGAAGGAUUAGUAACAUUUAAAAAGGAUGAACUUAUACAAAGGAUCGGAAGAAUAGUUUAUAAUCAAACGGUGCAGUGUGUUAAGAUAUGAGUGACAUACUCAUGGCUAAGUGAGGAAUCGAAAUUGACAACUGGUUUUGAUAAAAGUGCAAAACCGUUGGUAAGGUUAAAUGUAGGUUUCCAGGAUCAACAGUCAUGAUCUGUCAGGAGAGAUUUAAUGUUCUCUGUUAAAUCUUAUUGUGUUAGUGUGUAUUAAUCGCCAGGAUGCUAAGCAGUUACUUCGUGGACGUUGACAAGCGUCGGGCCUCCUUCAGGAGGACCAGAAUGGAUGAUGACGACUACCGCACAGAAAGCGAAGUCGAGUAUGACAGUGACCAUGAAGACCAGGAUGCUGAGCAGGAGCUUGGACAAUGGAUAGGCCAGCUCGAAUCCCUGAAGAUGGAGGAGCCUGCUCCACACCAGUGCUUGGAGCCAGGGGAUACCGGAACAGUUCGACGACGAAACAAAACGGUGGUGACCCCUAAAAUGGCGAUGGAGAGUUUUCGGUUUUCUUUCCUCAACUCAGAAGAAGCCCAGGAUGUGAAUUUCGAUGCAAUUCUCGGGGAACUAUGUGAAUUGGAAACGCAACUAAGCACAACACAAUCAGAGCUCUCCCGGUCUCAUGGUUCGGGCAUGUCAUCGGGGCUGGCGAAGGACGAACAUCGAGAUAGCGGCAACGACUUAGCGCAGGCGGAACUGGACGCGCUGGCGACAGAAAUUACUCAAACGUUUGGAUAUAGGCAUAGUGUGCAAUAUGGUGGUGAUCAUGAAUUUCUUCAUGGAAAUUUUUUAUCAAAACAUGGAUCGUGUUCAGAUCUUACCGGUGAAACAGAUUCUGCUUUCUCAGAAAAUGCCUCACUUCCAUCAUCAGAAUCUUUUACGUCAAUGGUUACUGUGUCAUCCUCAGCAGAAACCUCUAGUGGCGGGGAUACCAGUAGCACUGCCAGCAGUGCGAGUACGAUUACGCCACUGUCGAUGCAAGCCUCGGAGAUGCAUGAGAUGCUGAUGUCCCAAUUAAGUUUGUAUGAGGAGCAGCUAGAAUUGGAAAACCACCCCCUUGAAGAACAAAGAUCUCGCUUAAAAGCUGAAAAGAUCCGCAUUGCCCUGGAAAAAAUUAAAGAAGCCAAGAUACGGAAGCUGUUUGUUCGAGCAUUUGCCAAAGAUGGGAGUAGUAAAAGUAUACUUGUGGAUGAAAAGAUGUCCAUCGGUCAAGUUUGUAGUACUCUGGCCGAUAAAAACCAUGUCCGGGUCAACUCAAAGCUUGCUGUUGUGGAACAUAUGCCAGAUUUAUUUAUGGAGAGAAUACUGGAGGAUCACGACUCUUUGGUAGAAAACAUGGUGAUGUGGACGCGAGAUAGUAAAAAUAAGAUAAUGUUUGAGGAACGCCAGGACAAAUACGAUUUGUUUCGAAGGCCAGAGAAAUAUCUGCUUGUGAGUUCCUCGUCAGAGAAAGGGGCCUCACUUGAUCCCAGUAAACGCCAAAGACUUAUUUAUGAAUUUUUCACUGGUGGUGCCCAGGUGCCAGAAGUGGAGGGUGUGAUGUACCUCAAGUCUGACGGCAAAAAGGCCUGGAAGAAAUUCUUCUUUGUUCUGAGGGCUUCAGGUCUCUACUAUAAUCCAAAAGGAAAAAUCAGCAAGUCAUCCAAGGACUUGACCUGUCUCGUUCAGUUUGAUUUCGUGGAUGUGUACUUCGGCCUUGGCUGGAAGAAGAAGUACCAUGCCCCUACUGAUCAUUGCUUCGCUCUCAAGCAUCCUCAAAUUCAGAAGAAGACAUCAAAGUAUAUCCGCUACUUCUGUACGGAGAAUAAGGCUGCGCUGGAUCAGUGGGUUAUGGGAAUUCGUAUAGCCAAGUAUGGGAAACAACUGUUGGCCAACUAUGAACGUCUCCAAAGGGAAGUGGCUUCUUGGGAUACCCGCGAUCUGCGAACUAGCAUAUCUGACGAUACUUGUGAAACUAUUCUUAAUCUAAACACAGAGGGAAAUUUAAAUGACAGCAGGAUCUCGUUGCCCGAGCCCGGAUCACGACAUUCAAUUGUUGCAUUGAAAACUGCAAAUUUAGUGCGGAAUAGUUCCGGGAGUGAUAGUACAAUUGUAGAGGAUGAUGUAGUUGCAUUAGAAGUGACAUCAUCACAUCCUCAUCAUCAACAUGAAAGGAAACCUUCAUUGACUGGACAGCAUUGUAUGGAAAUGGGCGGUAUGCCAAAACAACCAGUGAAACGUGUCUCCUUUAGCAAUACCCAUAGUGUAAUAAACGCAGACUCGGGAGAGGAGUUGGUACAUGUACGCCAUCGUGACUCAAUCACUAGUGCUUCAACUGAUUCAAGUGAGGAUUCAAAUUCAAGUGGUGAAAACAGACACGCCAUGUCGUCAUCUAGGAGUAAGAUGCGUGCAAAGCUUCCUGUAACAACCGGUACAACAAGACAGAUUUCUGAAAUGUACCAAACUGCAAUGGAGGGUAGUAGUGUGUCGUCAUGUGAGUCUAUGGGUCACGAACGCAAGCCAUCAAUAACAAGUCCAGUACAAAUCCAAGACAAGGAGCGUAGAAAAUCGGCACCAGCGCUUCAUGAGGAUCGUGUGAGACGACAUGAAAGAAAGGGGUCAGAUGGUAGUCGGGAUAGUCGGGAUAGUCGGGACAGCCGGGAUAGUCGGGAUAGUCGGGAUUCCAAGUCCCUGUCCCAGUCUCUGGAUUAUACUGUCAUCCCCUCAAACCCUUCAUCAAAAAACACUUCCCCACAAAAUCUGCAUGCCCUAAAUAAGGUACCUCCCUCCCCACCACCUCUCAAAUGUCCCACACAGCCCUACCCCACAUGCCAUCCCGUGAUUCCAGCCUCUCCCUCAUCCUCUAGUCAGGCCCCACCCCUCAAACUCAUGAUGCCAACCUCCCCAGCCCCACAACGUGAGAUGGUGUCUUCUCCACCCCCAUACAGAGAAAUGAUGUCUCCUCCUCCCCAUCCCCCUUACUGCCGGGAGGAGAUGAUGUCACCCCCACCCCUCCCAUAUUAUGGCAAGUCCCAGGGUAGGGCUCCCCCUGUGCCACCACCCCCAGCUGGUAUUAAGAUGCCACUGCCCCUGAUGUCGCCCCCGGUGAAAUCCCGUCCUGCUCCUCCCCAACCACCACAACAAACCUAUCCCCCUCACUCAAAUUACUCUUCACAGCACUACCCCCAGCCCCCUUCUCCAGCCCCCAUGCCCUCUCCCCCUGUGUCUGCUAAUAAAAGUCCCCCUCCCCCUAUGCCCCCACCAGGACACAUGACAAAGCCCCCAUCACCCCUGCCACUGUCCCAACCUCCUUUGCCCCCUCCACCAACCUCUAUGCUGCAGACUCACAUAUCCCUGGCCCAAAGUAACUUUGCUGAUGGUUCCCCUACCCCUGUAGGCUCUGGUUCCUCAACCUCAUCAGGCAUGUCCUCCCCCUCCACCCCAAAGGGAAUGAUACCCAUGCCUCCACCCAUGCCUCUCCUGCAAAACCAGUAUGUUGGAGGUCAAUCAACCUCGGGUAUGGGCCAUAUUCGUCGAUCAUCGAAGUCUGGGUCAGAGACUCUAGGGGCGUCUCCAAGUAAGGCCGCUAUUCCUGUGGCUCCUCCUACUCCCCCAGCCAUUAUGAACCACUCUGUGACAUCACCAUCUGUCAAAAACCCUAAACAUGCUCAGGUCAUGUCGACCUCUGACCCUAUGAUGGGUGGCAGUGGGGUCAGAACUUCUCUCCCUGAGUCUUCGUCCUCAUCCCAGAUACCUCAGCAUGUUUACGGAGGGCACCAGGGGGCAUAUCAAAGUGGUCACCAGGGGGCACAUCAGAGUGGACACCAAGGGACUCAUCAGGGGCCACAGCAUGGUGGACAACAGGUGCCCUAUUCCUCAGCUUCCCAACAGGAUAACACAAUGUAUGACCAAAUACGUGUACGCCCAGGCCCACAGGCGCGAACUACACACUCAUGUAAUGUACCCCCUCCACCACCACCUGUCUCCAUGGCAAUGCCUCGCCCCCACAGUUCUGCAGGGGUAAGGAGUCAGUCACAGCCCUCACACACUGAUCAAAUGACUCCUUUGUCACCAUCGCAGGAGGAAGGAAUAUAUGAACAGCAACAACCACUUCCAUUUCUAGCAGAACUGUCCAAGAGACCUCAUCAAAAUCGAGGCUCCAAUGGAAAAAUUCCUCCAGCAACUCUGCCGAAACCAACAGAACAAAACCAAUCAAAAACAUCCUCCAACGGUGCUAGUUAUCAUGGAGGUCCUCAUGGGGGCCCUCAUCAUCAGAGUCAUCCCCAUGGGGAGCCCCUGUAUUCUCACGGACAAGGUCAUGCAAACCAGGGGCAACCCCACGGGGGCCACCACUAUCCCUCAAACGGACCAGCAGUCCCCCCAAGGCCAAACUCUGUCAACUCAAACAAAGGGGGAACCAUUGACAAUAAAAAAAUGUUUCCACCACCCCCGCCACGACGGAGUGAAACGACGCGUUUAUCAACUGAACUAGCAGGCCAAAGCGAAAUCUCUGUGCAAACAAAUAUUGACCCUAUUUAUGAAACAUUUGAGGAAUGUGAGGGAAUAAUGGACAUUAACGACCUACCCCCACCUCCUCCAGAACUGCUAGCAGGGUUAGAAAACCCUAUGGACGGAUCUGUAGGCAAAAAGGGAAAACCGCCACCGCCACCCCCUAAACGUAACAAGGAUACACAGCUGACACUGCAAUGAUAUAAAAGUGCUAAUCAAUAUUUGUAAUUCAUAAACUAGGUUCAUUCUAAUUUAAUAUCAUUUUUUACCUAAUAAGAUGCAAACUUCAUUUCUUAACAAUCGAAAGUCAGACUGGAAAAAGUUUACAAUUAACAAAAUGAAAUAGAAGUGUUCCUCUCCGUCCAAAAUUGGAUGGUAGAAGACAAGAGAGAUUAUAAUAGUAUCAGAAGGACAUUUUGGAAUUCUGUUUAGAUUAUCUCCCCUUACCUAGUCCAGACAUGUGGGUUAUAUUUAGUAAUGAGCAAAUGCAAUUAAUUUUGGGAAACAUUAGAUAUCUGAAAUCCCACAUUUAAAAUUGAUUACAUCAACAUCAGAUCUGAAGAUAACAAUGCCCUAGUACAAAGGGAGGUAAUUUGAAACACAAUUAUUUCCAAUGUAUGUCCUGGUACAAAGGGAGGUCAUUUGAAACAAUUAUUUCCAAUGCAUAUGCCCUGGUACAAAGGGAGGUAAUUUGAAACGAUUUCAUCUUCAUACAAAAUUAUCAAAAUUAAUUAAUAUAUCUAAGUGAAACCUCUGUGAUUUUAAGAAAAAGUGCUAUAUCAUCUUAGUUAUGGUAAAUACAAUAUAUUUAAAAGAAGAUUAGCAAUGUGUACUGUGAGAUCCCUAUACCAGACAUGAACAGACACGGGGAAUGAUGUUAACAGAGGUUCUAUUGUGUUAUAGUCAAACGAGGAUUAAAGUUAUCGUGUCAUAUUACUCAUUAUUCAUUUGCAUCAAAAAAUGCAUCAAAAAUGCAAGUAUUUUAUGUAAAUUGCAUUUAUAUUUAUAAAUGGUAGAAAUGCAUGGCAUUUGUUUUCAUCCAGAUAAACAAUGUACAUAUUUCACUACGAGAUAAUAGUCACUGCAGCAAUAACUUGUAUGGUGAUUGAAGUAAGAAGUGCUAAUGGUCAGUGAUAGGUGUAGGGUGUCGGUGACCAUUGUUGUUGUGUAUUUGUGAUGAAGGUAAGGCCAUACAGUUCUACCCUACAUACGUGAAGCUGUGUGUGUUAUUGAAAGAUGUGUGCUCAUUUGCCCUGCAAUAUUAAAUCAUUUUUGAAAUUUUAUGUGAUGAAAAUGUUGCUGUAACAUUAGUGCUAAUAUUUUGAGUGGUGUAUAUAGGCUUAUAUAUCCUCCUACUUGUUACCUUAUACUGGGUGUAACCUACAUACAAUUUGUGUGAACAGCCAUAUCACACUAGCAGCAGUAAAAAUUAAAUUAUAUAGAUAUAGAGAGUCCCAUCACUUGUCAGCAGUAUAUACAGGACUUGAUCAGCAGUAUAUACAGGAUUACAGGACUUGAUCAGUUAUUUCCCUGUUAAAUCACAUCAUUUCCCCUAUAUAUUCAUAUGAAGAUGAUCUAUUGCAGGGCUGUCAAUUCCGUCUUUUCGUAUUGCAGAGUUAUCUGCUCUUGUGAGCAGGUAUUGAUUGUUACGUCAUUGGUUUGUGAGA
rnacentral:misc_RNA from 1 species